UACGGGGGGGGCAAGCGUUGUUCGGAAUUACUGGGCGUAAAGGGUUCGUAGGUGGCUCACUAAGUCACACGUGAAAUCCCUCAGCUUAACUGGGGAACUGCGUGUGAGACUGGAGAGCUUGAGGGUAGGAGAGGAAUGCGGAAUUCCAGGUGUAGCGGUGAAAUGCGUAGAUAUCUGGAGGAACACCGGUGGCGAAGGCGGCAUUCUGGACUACAUCUGACACUGAGGAACGAAAGCCAGGGGAGCAAACAGG
rnacentral:rRNA from 1 species